CCUACGGGUGGCAGCAGUGAGGAAUAUUGGUCAAUGGCCGGAAGGCUGAACCAGCCAAGCCGCGUGAAGGACGAAGGUGCCAAGCAUUGUAAACUUCUUUUGUCAAGGGACAAAAUCAGGCUCGAGAGCCUGACCGAGGGUACUUGAAGAAAAAGCAUCGGCUAACUCCGUGCCAGCAGCCGCGGUAAUACGGAGGAUGCGAGCGUUAUCCGGAUUUAUUGGGUUUAAAGGGUGCGUAGGCGGACUGUUAAGUCAGCGGUAAAAGCCCGGGGCUCAACCCCGGCGAGCCGUUGAAACGGGGUGUGGGGAGGUGGAGGGAGGUAGGGGGAAGGGGCGGGGUAGGGGGGAAAUGAUUAGAUGUUGAGCAGAA
rnacentral:rRNA from 1 species